rnacentral:rRNA from 1 species
UACGGAGGGUGCGAGCGUUGUCCGGAAUCACUGGGCGUAAAGGGCGCGUAGGCGGCGCGGAAAGUCAACGGUGAAAGCUUGGGGCUCAACCCCGAGUCGGCCGUCGAUACUUCCGUGCUCGAGCACUGUAGAGGCAGGUGGAAUUCCGGGUGUAGCGGUUGAAUGCGUAGAGAUCCGGAAGAACACCGGUGGCGAAGGCGGCCUGCUGGGCAGUUGCUGACGCUGAUGCGCGACAGCGUGGGGAGCAAACAGG